rnacentral:rRNA from 1 species
AACGAACGCUGGCGGCCGGCUUAACACAUGCAAGUCGAGCGACUCGCAAGAGGAGCGGCAGAUGGGUGAGUAACGCGUGGGAAACUACCCCGAGGUACGGAACAACUCGGCGAAAGAUGAGCUGAUACCGUAUGUGACUGAGAUGAUAAAGAUUUAUCGCCUCGGGAUGUUCCCGCGUAAGAUUAGCUAGUUGGUGGGGUAAUGGCCCAACAAGGCGACGAUCCUUAGCUGGUUUGAGAGAAUGACCAGCCACACUGGAACUGAGACACGGCCCAGACUCCUACGGGAGGCAGCAGCGGGGAAUAUUGGACAAUGGGCGCAAGCCUGAUCCAGCCAUGCCGCGUAAGUGAUGAAGGCCUUAGGGUUGUAAAGCUCUUUCGCCCGCGAAGAUAAUGACGGUAGCGGGAGAAGAAGCCCCGGCUAACUUCGUGCCAGCCGCCGCCGUAACAC